GUAGGUGAACCUGCGGAAGGAUCAUUACCGAUUUUAGCGAACCUGGCCUUUGGUCAUGGUCUCGCGAAAACUUGUAUUUAAAACCCCACUCUUAUAAAACGAAAUAUUUUGUAUAUAAAUAAAGUAAGAUCACUUUCAACAACGGAUCUCUUGGCUCUC
rnacentral:misc_RNA from 1 species